GUAGGGUGCGAGCGUUAUCCGGAAUUAUUGGGCGUAAAGAGCUCGUAGGCGGUUUGUCGCGUCUGUCGUGAAAGUCCGGGGGGCUUAACCCCGGGAUCUGCGGUGGGUACGGGCAGACUAGAGUGCAGUAGGGGAGACUGGAAUUCCUGGUGUAGCGGUGGAAUGCGCAGAUAUCAGGAGGAACACCGAUGGCGAAGGCAGGUCUCUGGGCUGUAACUGACGCUGAGGAGCGAAAGCAUGGGGAGCGAACAGGAUUAGAUACCCUGGUAGUCCAUGCCGUAAACGUUGGGCACUAGGUGUGGGGACCAUUCCACGGUUUCCGCGCCGCAGCUAACGCAUUAAGUGCCCCGCCUGGGGAGUACGGCCGCAAAGGCUA
rnacentral:rRNA from 1 species